rnacentral:rRNA from 1 species
CUUUACUGUAGCUUUGCAUUGGACUUUGACGGGACUUGUGUAGGAUAGGUGGGAGGCUGUGAGGCGUGGUCGCCAGAUCGCGCGGAGCCAACCUUGAAAUACCACCCUGGUGUCGUUGAGGUUCUAACCUUGGUCCGUGAAUCCGGAUCGGGGACCGUGCAUGGCAGGCAGUUUGACUGGGGCGGUCUCCUCCCAAAGAGUAACGGAGGAGUACGAAGGUCUUCUAAGCACGGUCGGACAUCGUGCUCAUAGUGCAAUGGCAAAAGAAGGCUUGACUGCGAGACCCACAAGUCGAGCAGGUGCGAAAGCAGGUCAUAGUGAUCCGGUGGUUCUGUAUGGAAGGGCCAUCGCUCAACGGAUAAAAGGUA